rnacentral:rRNA from 1 species
CAAGUCGCACGAGAAAGGGAGCAAUCCUAAGUAAAGUGGCGCACGGGUGAGUAACACGUGGAUCAUCUACCUUUUAGUGGGGAAUACCUCUGGGAAACCGGAGACAAUACCGCAUAAGCCUGUAAAGGGAAAGCAGCAAUGCGCUGAAAGAGGAGUCCGCGGCCGAUUAGCUAGUUGGCGGGGUAACGGCCCACCAAGGCGAAGAUCGGUAGCCGGCCUGAGAGGGCACACGGCCACACUGGCGCUGAAACACGGGCCAGACUCCUACGGGAGGCAGCAGUGGGGAAUCUUGCACAAUGGGCGAAAGCCUGAUGCAGCGACGCCGCGUGAGCGAUGAAGCCCUUCGGGGUGUAAAGCUCUUUCGACGGGAACGAUAAUGACGGUACCCGGAGAAGAAGCUGCGGCUAACUACGUGCCAGCAGCCGCGGUAAUACGUAGGCAGCGAGCGUUGUUCGGAAUUACUGGGCGUAAAGAGUGUGUAGGCGGUGUUCCCAGUCUGUUGUGAAAUCUCCCGGCUUAACUGGGAGGGUGCAGCGGAAACUAGAAUGCUAGAGGGUGGGAGAGGUAAGCGGAAUUCCUGGUGUAGCGGUGAAAUGCGUAGAUAUCAGGAGGAACACCUGUGGUGUAGACAGCUUACUGGACCACUUCUGACGCUGAGACACGAAAGCGUGGGUAGCAAACAGGAUCAGAUACCCUGGUAGUCCACGCCCUAAACGAUGCAUACUUGGUGUGAGCGAUUCAUUUCGUUCGUGCCGGAGCUAACGCGUUAAGUAUGCCGCCUGGGGAGUACGGUCGCAAGGCUGAAACUCAAAGGAAUUGACGGGGGCCCGCACAAGCGGUGGAGCAUGUGGUUCAAUUC